AGUGAAUGUCACAUAUAUAUAUUUUAAUCUAACAUUCAUUGAUAUUAAACUUUAAAGUACACUGAAAUGUUAGUGUUGGAAAAUAGCAGCAGAAGUAUUUUCUUGAUUUUCUUGUUCCUAGAACAGUGUGUAUCAUCUAGUGUUUAAUAGCCGCCGAACAGUAAUAUUGAAAAUGAAAAGGGUGAACAUUGCAGGUCUAGACUACAUAACACGUUGUUUUGGGUAUAUGUAACUAUGGAUAAAUAAAUCAUUAAAACAUCCUCGGAAUAACUAACUGUAACCGUACGGUGCUAAAUUAUGUUUAAGGUUCAAUUGUUGUUUUGUGUGUUUUUUGUCUCCAUUGGAUUGAAUUUAGUUAUUUUCAAUACAAACUUUAAAGAAAACGAAGAGCAACUAAGUCAUGAAUGGAAAAAUGGCACAUUUAGGUCAAUAUCUCAAACGCUUAACAAACAGAAACAAUUUCGAAGCCAAAAUGCAAUUAUACCUGACAAAAACGUCGUGAAGUCCAGAAAUUGUGAGGAUGUCAAUACUUC